GUGUCAGCAGCCGCGGUAAUACGUAGGUGGCAAGCGUUGUCCGGAAUUACUGGGCGUAAAGGGUGCGCAGGCGGACAUUUAAGUGAGAUGUGAAAGACCCGGGCUUAACUUGGGCAGUGCAUUUCAAACUGGAUGUCUGGAGUGCAGGAGAGGAGAACGGAAUUCCUAGUGUAGCGGUGUACUGCGUAGAGAUUAAGAAGAACACCAUGGGCGAAGGCGGUUCUCUGGACUGUAACUGACGCUGAGGCACGAAAGCGUGGGUAGCAAACAGGAUUAGAUACCCUGGUAGUCCACGCCGUAAACGAUGAGUACUAGGUGUAGGAGGUAUCGACCCCUUCUGUGCCGCAGUAAACACAAUAAGUACUCCGCCUGGGAAGUACGAUCGCAAGAUUAAAACGUAAAGGAAUUGACGG
rnacentral:rRNA from 1 species